UACGUAGGGUGCAAGCGUUGUCCGGAAUUCUUGGGCGUAAAGAGCUCUUAGGCGGUUUGUCGCGUCUGCUGUGAAAACCCGAGGCUCAACCUCGGGCCUGCAGUGGGUACGGGCAGACUAGAGUGCGGUAGGGGAGAUUGGAAUUCCUGGUGUAGCGGUGGAAUGCGCAGAUAUCAGGAGGAACACCAAUGGCGAAGGCAGAUCUCUGGGCCGUAACUGACGCUGAGGAGCGAAAGCAUGGGGAGCGAACAGG
rnacentral:rRNA from 1 species